UACGUAGGGUGCGAGCGUUAAUCGGAAUUACUGGGCGUAAAGCGUGCGCAGGCGGUUUGUUAAGUCUGCUGUGAAAUCCCCGGGCUCAACCUGGGAAUGGCAGUGGAUACUGGCAAGCUAGAGUGCGGUAGAGGGUAGUGGAAUUCCCGGUGUAGCAGUGAAAUGCGUAGAGAUCGGGAGGAACACCAGUGGCGAAGGCGGCUACCUGGACCAGCACUGACACUGAAGCACGAAAGCGUGGGGAGCAAACAGG
rnacentral:rRNA from 1 species